AAUUUUGCAGGUAGGGUAAGGUUUAGAUAGCUAAGUAAAUGUACAUUAUGUGUGUGUGUCCUCAGAUUGAGUGGACUUCAAAUAAAGAAAAAAGAAAGCAGCAUAUUAUACAUGUGAGCAUGUGUGUGCAUGGCUGCAGUGUCAGGUUGAUUGUGCUGUCAGGGUUCGAGAUGCUCAAUGAGCUUCCUGUUUGUCUCGCUCUGGGCACCAUGUUCAUCUGCAGACACUGACUGAGUGCCCUGUCUCUCUCUCUCUCUGUCUCUUUCUCUUCUCUGCUGUAUCCCUGAGGCCUAUACAUUGUGCAGAGCAUCCUGCAUUCAGCAGCUUAAAGACACCGGGAGAGACAGCAAGACUGGAGAGGAAGGGACACAGCAAAGAGUGACAGGAAGAUGGGGGAAGAAAAGAAAAGUGUUCAUAACAGGAAAAAGGGUUCAUUUCUGUCAGGAUGGUGUGAGCGAAACGGAGGAAUGGGAGGAAGAGAUGAUUACAGAAGCGUAACUUUGGAGCCAAAGGACAGCGAGAGACAUUUCUGAAGCAUUGAAGGAGAUACACGCACGAGAGCGGGAGAGGAAGAGGAAGCGAAGGGUCGAUUUAUCUUAUAUUGACAGGAGCGGCUUCAAACGAUGACCUUGAGGACUAAUGAGAAUACUUCAAGCUCACAUAACCAUGUGGACCACCAUGACCAGUCUGUUAUUGCGGAUGAGCUCUGUGUCUGGGGUUUGUGCUGUGGUUAAGCUGGUAAACCCAUGAGGUGAGCAGAUCCUGACCCCUGACAUGCAUGAGAGACGCGUGUAUCUCCCGCUUCGACUGUGAGAUUUACAAGAGUGUUGUUUGAGAAACGCACUGGAUUGUGAUCUGAAACAGGUAGUCUUUACGAGAUAAACACAGGAUUUCCUCAAACCUGACAGUGCUGAUGUUAAACAUCUUUUUGAAGAAAACUCAGCUCUCGUGUAAAGGCCAAGGAAAUUCUCUAAUUCCAAUUCAGAUACAUUUUGAUAUUCUUCAGACAGACCCUUUCCCGACACGAUGAUUUUGUUUGAUUUAAAGAUAAACUGUUGCACAAAACAUGUAUUGUACAUGUGGAAAAAAAUAUUUCUACAGUAAAUUCAUUCACUAAAGACAUGCACUCAUUAUUUAGGAAUUAGUAGGGCUUGUUAAGACUUGCAUCUAUUGCUCCAAUG